rnacentral:autocatalytically_spliced_intron from 1 species
ACAUGCAGAUUAACAAAAGAUAGCGCAAUUCCUUAAAGAUAGGGACCAUCCGCCGUUGCGGAUGGAAAACUUGGCUAUAUGCUGGAACAUCCGGUGUAUCCAACAGUACCGAAAGGUAACAAUCUGUUGGUGCGGCCUAAUCCGUAAGAACGGACGGCCAACGGACAAUCAGCAGGAAAGAUCCGCCUUUUGCGGAAAUCCUCAACGACCAUACGCCAAGGCCGCUUCGGAAGCGGCAUGAUAUGGCCUGAACUGCAUGGCGACAUGCAG